GUCUACAGCCAUGCCACCCUGAACAUGCCCUAUCUCAUCUGAUCUCGGAAGCUAAGCAGGGUCGGGCCUAGUUAGUAGUUGGAUGGGAGACCGCCUAGGAAGAUUAGGUGCUAUAGGCG
rnacentral:rRNA from 1 species